ACCUGCGGAAGGAUCAUUAACGAAUCAUAAGUCGGCCUUGCUGUUGCUGGUGGAGAGAUCCACAUGUGCACGCUCGGUCGCAAAUCCACACACCUGUGCAUCUAUGACUCGAGGUUGUCGUCGUAUGACCGAGAGUAACUUUUACACACUCUUGAAUGUAACGGAAUGUCUCUUGUGCGUAAUGUACAAUUAAACAACUUUCAACAACGGAUCUCUUGGCUCUCGCAUCGAUGAAGAACGCAGCGAAAUGCGAUAAGUAAUGUGAAUUGCAGAAUUCAGUGAAUCAUCGAAUCUUUGAACGCACCUUGCACCCUUUGGUAUUCCGAAGGGUACGCCCGUUUGAGCGUCAUUGUAAUCUCACUUCUAUGACUUUUAUGUCGUCGAACGUGGACUUGGACGUCUGCCGUGUCACAACGGCUCGUCUCAAAUGCCUGAGUGUACCCCACCUUGCGGCGUAUUCGGUGUGAUAAACAUUUCACCGGAGUUUGGUCUCUGACCGCGCUUUUGCAAUCGGUGGGCUCUAUGCUUUCCAACCGUCUCUAAUCGGACAAUCUUUGACAAUUUGACCUCAAAUCGG
rnacentral:rRNA from 1 species